ACGAGUUUUUGAAACGGGUUGUUGCUGGCUUCAAAACAGGAGCAUGUGCACGCCUGACUCAAUCCACUCUCAAACCCCUGUGCACUUAUUGUAGGCUUGGUGAUUGAAGAGCUCGCAAGAGUUCUAAGAGAGCCUGGUCUAUGUUUUUAUAAACGCUUCAGUUUAAGAAUGUUACUCGCGUAUAACGCAAUAAAUA
rnacentral:misc_RNA from 1 species